ensembl:lncRNA
UUUGUUACAGAGCCCAGGCCGACUAAAACAAUUCCCGUGCUCGCUGGAGAAUCAGCAGGUGCAUUUGCGUCUUAAAAACACCUUCAGUGGCACCAGCUUCCCCCCACGGCACCGGUUCUCGUCACUCUCCGAGGCUGCCCUCACCUUCGCAGGCCGUGAAUUGUUAAGAGAAUUUAGCCACAAACCAGGCAAGAAUCUUUCCCACGUGUCAGCAGCCAGAAGGCUUUGUAGAUAAUAUUCUUCUUUAAAAUUCAGUAAUUAUGUAUCUAGUUGCUACCAACCAGAGAGAAAAAUAUGCAUAUUAAAAAGUCCAUAAUUACAUAAUAAGCACUUACUGUCAAUUGCAUUCUGCUGCCGUGUACUCUCUGUCCCCUUUAUCUUAAAAAAAUUCAAAAACAAUUACCACAAACACUAAAAUAAAUCAAGCACCAAGUGUCAGGUUAAUGCAAAAUUAGGGGUUUACUUUGAGCACAUAGAUAAGUUUUAAUUCAGAUGCCAUCAGUUCUAACCACAUGGGAUCUGUGGCCCUGCCAGGAUCACUGGAGAGCUGGAAGUACCUUGGAAGGGCUGAAUGGCAAAGGACUCAGGAGGACACCCGAGGAAUCACUUGCUUGGAUUGGAAGCUGCCAGAGUGUCAGAGCUGAGGGUUGCUAUCCUGAGGAGGCCAGGACCUCAAGUGAAGAUGAUAAAGGAAGCGGGAGAGGAGGAGCUGGGUGUGAGAAAGCGGAGACCCGUGGGAGGGACAAUGGAGUCCCAAACUGGACGGAGACCUGGAGAGCAGCGGGGAGCCCCCCAUGGCCACCAUCAAUACAGAAAUACAGACAGCAACCAGCACCUCUGUAAGUGGGAUGAACAGGUCUUAAAUUCCACUGGGGCCUCCACUCGGAACCCCGGGUCUGCUGGCUGGAUGAGCGAGAUCACAGCAUGGGGACUGGGCUCCCCCAAGGGCAGUGUGCAGGUGAUAUUUCCAUUGCUGGCCUGGUGACCACACGGAGCUUCUGCGACAUGGCGCUGGGCUGGAGAGUCCAGGUGGCUACAGGGCUCAGGGGUGAGACCACACAACCCAGUUGUCUCAUCUCCUUCCAAACUUAGUCUCAGAUUUGGGGUCCUCCACGUCUUCACCUGGUAUCAAAUGCUUGUUAACGUCACAGCCACCAUGCGGCAAUCACGCGUGUGUUUUCAUCCUCCCGAUGGCCUGUGAGUCCAGCAGCGGCCCGUUUUAUUUUUCAUUCAGAAACCUGAGAGGUGAAAGCUGAGUCACUUUUCCAAAGUCACCGAGUGGCUCAGUUGCAGGGCCAGAACAAAAACCAGGGCUCGGGCCAGUCCCUCCACCUCUGCCUUCCAGCCAGAGUGUCCAGGGACAGCAGGAGCAGCUGUGUGGGGAAAUUGCAGUGACACAUGCGCAAAGCAAAACAUGAUCAAAUUAAAGAAAUGCAAUUCCCAAAUAAAAAUUCUCCGCAAAGUAACACAAGGAGAGAAAACCAAACACCGCAUGUUCUCACUCAUAAGUGGGAGCCGAACAAUGAGAACACUUGGACACACGGAGGGGAACAUCACAUACCGGGGCCUGUCGGGGGCUGGGGGGCUGGGGGGCUGGGGGAAGGAGAGCAUUAGGACAAAUACCUAAUGUAAAUGACAAGUUGAUGGGUGCAACAACCAACAUGGCACAUGUAUACCUGUGUAUCCAGUCUGCAGUGGUGCACAUGUACCCCAGAACUUAAAGUAUAAUAAUAGAAAAUAAAUAAAGGGAAAUUAAAUAAGAAAAAAAAAGAAACUCCAGUACGUUAAAAGAAAAUACCUUAAAAUAUCCUCCAGACAGCCCAGUGCCCGUGGGUUUCUCUGGUGUCCGACCUCACAGGAUAAUUUUUGUGCCUUACAUGUCACAGAAGCAGUUAUAAUCAGAGACGGAGGGCGCUUCUCAUCUUUGGGAGAUGCUGAAAGGCCAGUGUCCACCGGCCCUGACAUUUCAUUUCCGCCCCCGUUUUCCUGUAAAGAGACAGAGGAAACGGGACAGCGGCCUUCGGGGUCAGCAUUCGGGAGCUGCCUGGUGGCAGGCGAGGACCCGAGGCAUUAGCGGCGUCUUCAGCUCCUGGGCCUGCUGAGCUCUGACCCACCCUCGGGUGGCUCAGAGGUGGCCGGUUCACUUCGAGAAGCCCAGGGAACAGAUUCUUCCUGAAUGAGUUUCAGAGAACAAUCUGCACUCUGGCAGCUUCCCAGCAGCUGCAAGUGGAGGUGGGAGGAGACCCGAGGUCGGGAGUCUCUAAAGUGUUUGCCUUUUUCACUCUUGAUGGAGAAAAGCCCAGAUGUGACUGUGGUUGGACGAGGUCCUGUCACAUGGCAUGUGUGGGCUCUGGGCUCACAUGGCUAUUCCGGGGGCAUCCAGGGUACUUAGGGGUCGCCCUUUAGCCUUCAGAGAGCUGCCUGGGAAGUGCUCACCUUGCGCAUAGCUGUGGCCCCUCCAGCUGCAGGAUUCCCC